rnacentral:rRNA from 1 species
AUUGAACGCUGGCGGCAGGCCUAACACAUGCAAGUCGAACGAGUGGCGGACGGGUGAGUAGUGUCUGGGAAACUGCCUGAUGGAGGGGGAUAACUACUGGAAACUGUCGCUAAUACCGCAUACCAUCGGAUGUCCCCAGAGGGGAUUGGCUAGUAGGUGGGGUAAAGGCUCCCCUAGGCGACGAUCCCUAGCUGGUCUGAGAGGAUGCCCAGCCACACUGGAACUGAGACACGGUUCAGACUCCUACGGGAGGCAGCAGUGGGGAAUAUUGCACAAUGGGCGCAAGCCUGAUGCAGCCAUGCCGCGUGUAUGAAGAAGGCCUUCGGGUUGUAAAGUACUUUCAGCGGGGAGGCGUUACCCGCAGAAGAAGCACCGGCUAACUCCGUGCCAGCAGCCGCGGUAAUAC